rnacentral:rRNA from 1 species
CGCCGACGACCGGCGCACGGGUGCGUAACGCGUAUACAAUCUACCUUUUGCUAAGGUAUAGCCCAGAGAAAUUUGGAUUAAUCCCUUAUGGUAUUAUUACUUGGCAUCGAUUAAUAAUUAAAGGUUACGGCAAAAGAUGAGUAUGCGUUCUAUUAGCUAGUAGGUAAGGUAACGGCUUACCUAGGCAACGAUAGAUAGGGGCCCUGAGAGGGGGAUCCCCCACACUGGUACUGAGACACGGACCAGACUCC